GGAGAGGUCGCAUAGUGGCCUAGUGCGCCAUCUUGGAAAGGUGGUAUACCGCAAGGUAUCGGGGGUUCGAAUCCCCCCCUCUCCGCCA
rnacentral:tRNA from 1 species